UACGCAGGGAGCUAGCGUUGUUCGGAAUCACUGGGCGUAAGGCGCACGUAGGCGGAUGUGUCAGUCAGGGGUGAAAUCCCGGAGCUCAACUUCGGAACUGCCUUUGAUACAGCACGUCUUGAGUCCGGAAGAGGUGGGUGGAAUUCCCAGUGUAGCGGUGAAAUGCGUAGAUAUUGGGAAGAACACCUGAGGCGAAGGCGGGUUGCUGGGCUGACACUGACGCUGAGGCGCGAAAGCCAGGGGAGCAAACGGG
rnacentral:rRNA from 1 species